AAGUGGAGCGCUGGAAGCCUUCCAUCCUUUCAUUUUGAAAAUUGUUCGUUAACCGACUCAAUAAUAGACCCGCAGAAUUUUGAUACACUGCCAGGAUCUACAAACAUUAUUGCAAAAGGACAGCGAUGGAAAAGCUAUUUUAAUGGUGUACCGUAAAACAGGAUAUUUAACAUCACGCCUUCGAAAUCUCUUGGUUCAAAAAAUAAUUAAAUGCAAACAAGACGAAGCCUUUGAAGAUAUUUCGAUUGGUGAAGUACUUCCUGAGUUCAGAAUUACAACAGAUGAAUUUAAAAGCUGGGCAAAAGAAAUCCACGAAGUUUUUCCUACUGAAUCCAUAGCAACGUAUUACAUCCCUUAUGCAAAAGUACAAGGACAGCGUAUCUGUGCAUCCGGAAAGCUCUGGGAACAUUUCCACUACACCAAAACUUUAUUGCAUAAGAGUGGCCUGUUACGCAAUAAGCGCAAAGAUAAAUACACCAAGCCGGAAGUAAACGUCGAAGAAACAUGCGA